CCACGGACUCCCCGGCUGUCAAGGAGGAGGCAACAGAGACUCACAAAAUUCCAAGUCAACCUCUGAAGCCUCUUGAUAAAAAGGACCCCUGGUUCAGGAAUGAAACAAGCAGCAGGUGGUGGGUGUGGGUCAAGGGCCAGGGACACAAGGACUUGAUUGGUUAACCAAGAACAGACCUUCCCACCACUGGGAGCUCAUUUUCUAACCCUUCUUUCCACAGCCGAAGUAGAAAGCACCCAAAUGCCCGUGAAAUGCACGCACUGUUUUAAGCCUCCGGAUCUCAGGUGAAGGGUUCCACCUGCACAAGACUGAAGGCAGACCGCCUGUGAGCUGCUGUUUUUCUGGUAUUUACUAACAGUGUUGCGAUGUGUCCUGUAUUUUAAACUUUUAUUUCGUAACUUACUGCUAUAUAAUAUUAAUACUGUAAAGAUCUAAUAUUAAAACAGAAUUGCUAAGGACACGCACACCUCUCUUUUGGUGUACUGAGUCAGGAUGGCUUUCAAUAGCCAUCAAUCCGCAUUAAUGGUUUUCCUUUAUUUUUUUUUCAUGCCAAGUUAAUGAGUGAAAUUCAUCAGAACAUCUCUGUUGAACAAACAUAGCCGUGGACCAGUGAUUCAGAUCUUUGGUUUCACUUUAGAAUCAUUUGGAGAGUUUUAAAGACUCCCAGAGCACCCACCUCGCCCCCGACUAAUUAAGUCAGACUGACUCCAGCCUCAUCGUGGGCCCUGAGGUGCGCCACUGCUAUUGAGAGAGAGAGGACGGCCCGUGCAGCGAACUCAGCGUCUGCCACGUGCAAGGUACGUUUUCUCCACCUCCCCAUCUGAGAUGCAGAGGGAACGCCACGUACUUAAGUAGGUGGGUUUCCUGAGUGGUGGCUGGUUGGUCUGAACUCACAGAGGGAAAACAUCCCCCACUUCCCGCCCAAGAGUCCACUCUCUGGGGCGACCUUGGGGUGUUCCGUGCUGAGUCCCUCUAACCCCAGUCACAGACCCAGCGGACACUGGUGGGUGAAUACACAUAUUUCUUUAGGAUUAGCUUGGUUUUGGUUAAGACCCCACAAUGUUCUGACCCCACUGGCUCAUUCCCUCCUUCUUCAACCUGCCCACCAUCAGCACAGUGUCAGUGGGCCCAGGCGUUACAUUAGAUCAUCAGGACGCUGCCACGAACCUCUCAGAUAAUGCUCCGGGCAGGUGCACCGAGGGCAGGGAGUGCUUGGGUGAAGGCUUGGCGGAUCUCGAAGGGAAGGUGUUGGAGUUCAUGGGGGACAUCGCUGGCUGGGGCAGAGGCCUCUGAUGCGCUGUGGGGAGGAGGAAAACAUACAGCGGGCUGUCAGGAUCCAGGCGUCGGGCAGCAUCUCAGAACCGCUCCCCCAUUAGGAACAACUAGUCUAAAGAGGGGCCCCCCGAAUCCAAAAGGUCCAACGUUAUCAGGAAGUGGUGGGACAAGUCUUGCCUCCCAAGGACUUUCCAGGUGACUUAUCACCUUAGAAUGCAUUUUCAGAUGCUGCUGUUCGCUCUGAUUCCCAAUAAUACUCCCUUAUCUUCUUCUUUUCAUUUUGGAAAUGUUAACUUGCAGAAAAUUACCCGUUGGAAACCAUGUGAAUUUCAGAAAUGAUUCACAAGUUUUGUUGUGCUUGAUGAAAGCCAAAUUUUAUGCUGUCUCGUUCUGCAGUUAGCGACCCUUCACCCAUAUGCGUGAGAGGGCAUGAACGGAAAUGUUUCUAUCCAACCAUGGGUGCAAUGUUUAAUUCUGCUGCACUAUUAUUCAGUGAUUGCACUGAUGUGCACGCACUCAAUGGUUCUCUUGGGUAAUCGGGCCAAACCACCCCAUUUUAUUCUAGUUAUGCAGUUUGCCAACUGAUACGUGUCUAUUUCAUGCUAAUGUCAUAGAUAUAAUUGACUUUAUGGGGUAUCUGUACUAAAAAAUGCCAUUCGAAUGCCUGGGCAGAACAAUGAAGGGAGGAUUGAUAAGUUAUAAGGAAGCUUUUCUGAACAUACCAUCAUCUUCAUCCUGGUGAAGGGAAGGGAAAAAGAAAAGAUAUUAACCCAUCGUCAAAACACGAUUCCUCAACCAUGCAGACAUCUCUGUUCUACUUCAGCCAUGCACAACUCCGCAGUUAGCAUACCAUAGGGAACAGUAGGACUUGCCUUGAGUGGUUUGUGGCUCUUUAAUACAAACCAGCAUCUGAGGACACCCCACCCUGAGUCUCUCUGUGUACUUAGCAUCCAGUAGGGUCCGAGGCCUCUAAGAGGGCCUGAGGAUGCAAUAAUCAUGACGCCAUCUCCUACAUGCAAUGAUUCAUACAUGGUAUUUCACCCAGUUCCCCUAGCAACCUGUCAGAACUUCACACCCUCAUUUACCAAUGGACACAUGCACUCGGAAGGGGUUCCUGACUCGCCGCGGGUUACAGGACUGGAUUCAGCCCCGAGCGUGUCUGACCCAAAGCUCAGCCUUCUUUUGGGCUCCACGGUCCCGUGGCCACUCCUGCACAGAGCACCCCCAUCCUGUUUGCCAUGUGGCUCACAAGGAGCUCGGCUCAGCACAGCUAGCCGCAGGGCGAGCUCGUGAGGCACGCAAGGGAAAGGCAGUGUGUGCCACUCCUCAGAUAAGCAGUGGCGGAAGAGGCAGAAAGAACCACGUUGCCACUGACCAGUAGACUAGAACUGGCAACUUGGACUUGUUUUGUUAGCACGGCAUGCUGGCGAUGAACGUGCUGUUGUGAGAAUUAAAUUAGUUACUACUUGUGUGCUGCGUAUGUGGAGUGAUCACUGGAAGUUAGCUGUCAUGAGUCUACCACUGAGAUGAGGCAAGAAGGAUCCCAGCCAGAAUGACUCAUCCCAGUUGCCCAACUGGGAGUCCCCGCACAGGGCUGCAUAAAUAAACACGCGUGAGCUCAGGGAAUGCCUACAGUGAAAUCUCUCUUCCGCACGGUUGCAACCAUGUCAGGUCCAUCCGGUGCAAGAAUAUACAAGUCCCAGAUUCUCAUGACAUGAAGGUCCACCCUUCCAGAGAUUGGGAACCUCAGGAAUGGGAUGUUACCCUUGCUGCCAGCCUCACCCCUUGUGCCCACGGCUGUGUGGCCAAGCUGCGGUCCUUGCUAUCUCCACAGGCUCCAUGGGCAUCACCACCCACCUGCCUUCGCUCAAGACACUCCUGAGGCCGGGAUGCACUGGGCUUUCUCUUAGGGAGACUGCGGUCUCUGUCCUCCCCAUCACCCGGUGACCAUCACAAAUCUCACCACUAAGAAGCCACCCCCGGCUCCUCGCCCCCGAGGAUCACUCUCCUGCCUUCGCCUCUCCAGCUCAUUCCAUGAUCACAGACUGUUCAGCACAUGGCUCCCUGUCUCCAUCACUGCAUCUGAACACGCACAGCGUCUAGCACAGAGCUACGGGGCAGCGGGCACUUGGAGGCUGAGCCCUCGACUAGGGGCCGGCGUGUGACAGCUGCAGAGGCUUCGAGGGCAAAGGAGCUCAGACAGCUGUGCACUUCGCGGUGAGUAUCUUACCCCGUCUGAACUUCGGUCUCCUCUUAGUACAAGAGAAACUGUGAUUCCUCACGGGGCCAUUAAAUGCAAAGCAUGUAUAAAACCAGGUCACCAGCUUUCCUGGCUUGCCUGAAACUGAUGAAAUUCUUGGAACCACAGCAGUGAGGCUUUCACUGCUAAAACUGGGAAAGUCCUGGGCAAACAACUGGUCGCCCAAAUGUCGCUAGGUUGCUAACGUGCACACAGUAGGCAUUUAGUAAGUGCUACCCCAUGCCCUUUCAGGUUGUGGAGGUAUUCAAAGGGAAAGAGAGGACUUAGAUACUUUGCUGUGAGGCCCAGCCUCUUGGGCAUCCCUCCCUUGACUGUCCCCUCCACCCCAUAGCCCUUCAUCUUGCUAUCUGCCAUCUGCUAAUGGGGCUGCUGUUAACCCAGCCACCCCAGGAGUUCUCAGAGAGGCCGGAGCUACGCAAUGCAGCCUGGCAGGCAGGCAGGACACAUGGGGGGACCCGACAGGCACAGGACUCAGGAGCCCACUGCAUGGAGGCUUUGCUCCGAUGUGGACUUCAGUGAAGGCAGGGACAGGGGGCGCCCCGACCUCCACGGAGCCCGCACUGGCCUUCCCCAGGCCAGGCAGUCACCCAGCGACAUUGUGGACUUACGUUCUCUCUUCUGUCUUGUCCCCAUCCGUGCCUGAAAUGAAUUAGGGCAGAGAGAAAGCACUGAGCACGACGAUUUUCCAAGAGCCUCAGAACAUAGAUCGUUUCACUUAAUCUAAUCAUGAGAAAUCAAACCCAUUGAGCCGUGAUAAAAAUGGAAGAA